UACGGAGGGUGCAAGCGUUAUCCGGAUUCACUGGGUUUAAAGGGUGCGUAGGUGGCUUUGUAAGUCAGUGGUGAAAUCUUUGGGCUUAACCCGAAAACUGCCAUUGAUACUAUCUGUCUUGAAUGCGGUGGAGGUGAGCGGAAUAUGUCAUGUAGCGGUGAAAUGCUUAGAUAUGACAUAGAACACCGAUUGCGAAGGCAGCUGACUACAGGUAUAUUGACACUGAGGCACGAAAGCGUGGGGAUCAAACAGG
rnacentral:rRNA from 1 species